rnacentral:rRNA from 1 species
UACAGAGGUCUCAAGCGUUGUUCGGAUUCAUUGGGCGUAAAGGGUGCGUAGGUGGCGCCGUAAGUGGGGUGUGAAAUCUCGGGGCUUAACUCCGAAACUGCAUUCCAUACUGCGGUGCUUGAGGACUGGAGAGGAGACUGGAAUUCAUGGUGUAACAGUGAAAUGCGUAGAGAUCAUGAGGAAGACCAGUGGCGAAGGCGGGUCUCUGGACAGUUCCUGACACUGAGGCACGAAGGCCAGGGGAGCAAACGGG